rnacentral:SRP_RNA from 1 species
GCCGGGCGCGGUGGAGCAUGCCUGUAGUCCCAGCUACUUGGGAGGCUGAGGUGGGAGGAUUGCUUGAGUCCAGGAGUUCUGGGCUGUAGGGCGCUAUGCUGACCAGGUGUCUGCACUAAGUUCAGCUUCAAUAUGGUGACCUCUCAGGAGCAGGGGACCACCAGAUUGCCUAAGGAAGGGUGAACCAGCCCAGGUCAGAAAAACUCCAAUGCCGAUCAGUAGUGGGAUCGCGCCUGUGAAUAGCCAUUGCACUCCAGCCUGGGUAAUAUAGCGAGACCCCAUCUCU